rnacentral:lncRNA from 1 species
GUCAAGAAUCUCCUCUCAGAAGGCAGGACCGACUACACAGGGCUGAAGGAGGCAAACACCCUCAAGGCUGAGUGUGCGGAAUUACCUUGUAGAUGCCAAGGGGAGGAAAAGGCUGAGGAGCCCCAGAGAAAGCUCCAUUGCCAUGACGUCAUUUUAUGGACAGAAAGUUCCAUUCUCCUCCUCUGCAAGUGUUGUAGCCUGACAUGGGGCCAGGCUAGGAAGAAUGCUGCGAGCCCUCUUUGGAGUGACACGGACUGUAUGGAUCAUCAGCAGACACACUUUAUGUAAAGGAGAAGGAGCUGUUGAAGCGUCUUGAAAACCUACUGAAUUGCUGAGCAGGAGAACAAGAGAGAAGAUAAGAAGCUACUGUAAGACUCAGCCUAGUGUCUGGCAUUUCCUUGGGAUGAUUUUAAAUCUAAUGUAUAAAUAUGGAAUACAAAUAACAAAGUCAUUAUUAGGCCACUUGCUUAAAUGACAGAAGAUUAGUAACUGAAGGACAAUGAUGUUAAGCAGUGGUUUGGAUGUUGAGAGUUUGAUUCCUUCAGGGUUCCUGGGCCUUUGCCUGCAUACCCUCCACAGUUCCUCCCAAUGCUUCUCCUUCCUCUUGACCCACAAACAGGGCAUCUUGGAAACAGGGAAUUCCUCCCAGACUUUUGUACAUCGACGGUUGCAUGAGAGGCCAAAACUCCAUCCCCUAAGAUGAUGGUUGUGACCUUGAUUUGCUUCUUAACCUGUAUCCAAGAUGCCUCCUGCCUGGGAGAGGUAAAACAAUACUUCUUAUUGCCCAUGUGAUUUGGAUAUGUCAAGGAACCUCCUUGAGACUCAGAUGGUUUUUAGUUGUUUCUUUCUGUGAAAUGGGGUGGUUGGGAGGAUUUGGUGACCACGUAUAAAAGGGCUUUAUAAAUUAUAAAUGCUCUAUCGAGAGGUUGGGGGCAGACCGGCUCCUAACUGUGUGAAGUCUGAGGGAAGAGCAGAAACAAAGGCUCACAUACACAUCUGAAUUUCAAAAAGUUAUAAAAACUGCCAAGUAAACACUUCAAUCUUUCUGCCUUGACAAGACACCUUAUAAAGAACUGAAAGGCUGAAUUUAAAUGUAGAAUUUUUUGACUUCUUGUAGCCCUAUGCUGCAGUGUGACUUGCCUCCCCACACCUCUUCCCUACUUUUUCUCUCCUGCCACAAAGGCCCUGGGUUCACAGGUGCAGGCAUCACAGUCCAUGGUUCAAGUUCUGCCUCCUCCCCCUCCAAGCAGCUACUUCUUGGCUACCUCCUCACCCCCAUGGCCUAGAAGUGUUCCAGGACCCACAACAGGGAGCUUGGAGUGGGCGUGUUUAUGAUGCACAUGAUGAACCAUUGGGCUUUUUCUUUUCUUUGACAUGGAGCUAAAAUUUGUAAUUGUCAAGAUUUCAGGGCCAUCGUUUUGAGUUAUAAGAAGUGAGUAUCUUGAGACCAUUAUCCUAUAGCAUUUUCCUAGCCUAAAUGACCAUUUACCAAAGAGAUUUAAUAGCCUAAGAAUAAAUUUUGUCUUUGUAAUUUUAUUUUUUUAUACUUCUGCAGUUCUGAAAUCAAGUUUACUUUCUCUGACCUUUUCUUUCUUUUCACAGUUUUGGUUUUUAUUUUAAACAAGCUACAGUCAAGAAAUAGAAUUGAGAUUUGUUAUAGUCUCAAUGCAAAAUACUAUCCACUGAUGUGUGCUUUUGCUAUCGGUUAUUAUAUUUAGUUAAUAAAUAGCUCUGAAAAUACAUACAAAGUUUUUGGUACAAUGUUAAAUUUCCCCGGAGACUGUUCAUUCCCUUAUCAAAUAUUUAAGUGGCUUCCACUGCAUGGUGGGAUGGUUUAAGAUCCAAAAGGUACAGAUAGACAGCUAUGGAUAAAAGUAUUAAUCUGACUCAAUUGAACCUUUGACUACUACAGGGGGAAAUAUCAUCACUGUUAGUAAGAAUCGGAAUGUUGGUUUUUAACUGGUGGUUACAGUUUAGAAAAUGAAAGAUCAUUUUGAAUUCCUCUUUUAAGCUGUUUUACCUUGAUAAUAUCAGUCCCUUGCCCACUUACAUGGUAUUUGGAUGCUUACUCUAACAAUAAGUCCUAAUAUGAAAUAGCACAAACUAAGACAUGAGUCUUGGGGUCUCCUAUGGGAGCUCUGUGGCAAGUUCAUAAUCAUGAUUCUGAGUAGGUGAGGAUGAAGCAUCAUUGGGUCUAAGGGUGAGAAUUAAGGAGACACACUUGGCUAUGACUAGGGGGAAUCCUAUGUGGUAGCCACUGGCUAACCAGCUGGAUGCUUUUUAAAGGAAGGGCUUGAGGUAUUGCUCACCAAAUAUUGUAGGCUAGCCUAUAGAAGUCAGAAAAGGCUAGGGUGAAACCAGAAAUGGGUUUCAGAGUUAUCCAGCAGGCUCCACAUCAGCUCACUGGUAUUAGAAAUUUCACCAAAAGAGCUUAAACCAUUUAAAUUUAAGGCUUUGCUAUCUAUUAAUUGUACUUAUCUUUUCUGGUCAGAAGUUUGAGAACCAGGACGGACACAUGAAUGCCACUGCUUUGUCACAGCUGUUUUGUCACCGAGGAUCUUGCAUGACACCAAUAAAACAGCUAAUUUUAAAUAGGGUAAUUAUUUUGCUUGAUUCUAUGCUAAGUCCUCCACAGGCAUAUUUUAGCCCUUAUAAUAUCCUAUGAAAUAGUAUUAUUUUAUCUAGUACACAGAAGAGAAAAGGCACAAGAUGUUAAAUAACUUUGCCCGAGAUCACAGCACUGUGAGAUAGUGGGACUGAGCUUCAAAUGUGGACAGUGAGUUCAGACAGGAAUCUAUCAUUUUGAUCUCUGUUAAUACCUCAUUUACAGAACUGAGGAUUUUGGACUUCUACAGGGUUUGGUAUGUAGACCUGAGCUGAUCUUCCCUAGAUAUAUGGGACCAGGAGACCCAGCUAAUGCCUUUUUUAUCCUUGUUAAUAAGCAGAAAUAAAAGGGUAAAAUUUGGAUUGAUUUCUAGGAGGCAAUAUAUCCAGAGUUCUGGUGGGGGAGGCUCUGAAGUUGAGGUCCAAAGGAACCAAACAAUCCCCCCAAAUCUUCCAUAAUCCAAAGGCUGCAGGAAAGGAAAUGAUUGCCACUCUGUGUUAAGAACUCAGGCCCCUGGUUCAGCACUGACUAAGGGCAGUGAUUGAUGCAUACUGAGCAGUGGAGAUGUUUGUCCUUUACCAAGUCUGUGGCUGUUGGUUGCAUCAGAGCCUGGAACACCUCCAGAGGCAGGCUGGUCUCUGGUACGGAUCCAUGGGCUCACCCCCCCAACUCCCCACCACCAAGUGGGGCUUUUGGAUUGAAUGUCCAAGGAACUGCUGUCGUAUUGGCUUGAAGUUUCCAGAUCUACAAAUCUGAUCUCUCCCCAAGGCUUACCUUGAUGUUGAUUCCAAGUCUAGUGCACAAGGCUGACGAUGACGUAAGAGACAAAUGCUUGAAAGUUGGACAUGGGCCCUUUUCAGGCUGGGGCAGAGCUGAUGGGCAGACUUUGCUUUAGAGGUCUGAGAGGCUGAGUGGAUGGUGUGGGGAAAAGUCAUACCAAGUGUUCUCUGUGAUUUGUUCCUGAAAACUUGCAUGCUUGAGCUGCUGUAAUAGAGCAGCACAGGCAAUCCUUUUCAAAAUCAGUGCCUCAGUCUCCUCAAAUACAAAGUGUAGGAUAAUAAUCUUAGGUCCUUUGGAGGACCUUAGAGGAAUGGUGGUAACAGACAAACAAGUAUUACAAACUGUUAUUAUGCAUGAAAUACUGCAAUGCUAAGUUUCAAAGAAUUAAACUUUAAUUCAUGUAUAUGAUAUGAAUGAAAGUCAUGGUAUUGGACUAGUUUAUACACUGCUCUUUAAAAAUGAAUGAUUAUUAUGAUGAUAAUUA